rnacentral:misc_RNA from 1 species
CCCGCAGCACACGUAGCGAAGCACACAGGGCACAGCCACAGCCACGAUGUUGGUCUCGGAGAAGGCACAGCCGCUGCGGCUUUUCAACUGUUUACUUCUACAUGCUCACAAAGACGACGAAUCCGACGAUGAGGCGUGCACCAUGCACAAGAGCGCCGCCUCUACCUCACCAGUCACCGACCCCAUCGCCGCCGCAACAGCAGUCGGUGCAACGCGUCUGUACUUCACUGAAGGCGGGCCGUCAGCCAGCCUGGCGGCGCUGCAGCGCUACCUUAAAGUUGAAGAGGCGCACAUCACAUGCCCGCUGCUGCGUGUCUUGCAACUAGCGCCGCAGGCGCCAACAGGCAACAUGCAGCCGCUAGUGUACGUUGAGCAGGAUACGCAGAAUGCCGUAUCGCUAUCCGACGAGACGCAAGGGCGCCGUGAGGCCGUCCUGACGACCUGCUCCGGGGUCUGCACGCAGGAGACGAUGCCGUCACGGUGGUAUCAUGCGCCCGUUAAGGCCGCCCUGUGCGUCUUCCAGGAGCUCAUGCGUGCACCCACUACGUCCGCGGCCAGCGAGCCGGCCUUCUGGGCGUUUUUAGAAAGAGUUGUGCUAUACCACGCGCGUGACUUCUACCGCGGCGCUGUUCAGGUGGAACUGCAGUGCGUUUUCGUGCCAACGUUUGAGGAUACGCAGAGCACGGCGUACAGCGUCGACGUCUUCGGUGACUACGUCGACGAGGAGGACCAGGCGCAGAAAUGUGGCGCCGCAGCUGGUAAGGGCAGGACGGCAAUGAAGGUUUGCGUGAAGAGCACCGAGGCCUUCGAGCACGUCAUGGCGUAUCUGAAGACACAGUGCCCGCUCCUCGAGGCCGACUUCGGGUCGUCCCACUUGGUGGUGUACGCCAAGUGGUCGUCGCGGCUAUCCGCUGCACGCGGCUCCAGCCAUUCGCAGCCACCGGCCGCAGAUGCCACCGGCGCAGUAGAACAGGCCGCAUGCUUCGUGUGGCUGCAAGAUGACGCAGAGGGCGCGGGGCGGGACGGUGUCUACGCGGAUGCCGCGCUUGAGGCCCUCCUCGACGAGCUCACCCUCGCCGCCGCGUCGAUCAGCACGCCAUCGAGGGCGGCCGCUGUUCUGCAGGAGGAAGGCGUCAGCGCCUUCUUCGAGGCGUGCUGCCUCACACACACGCUGAAGAGAGUGAUCCGCAAAAACUUUCAGGCGGUUGUGCGGCGGCAGCGGCCGCUGUUCCACUGGGUUAUCUCGCUGCCCCCGUACUCCCGGCUGAGCAUGUCCACCACAAGUGCUGCUGUCACUGCGAUGCGCUUCAGAAACAACGCUGCGGUGUCGCGGGCGGUGUGGAGCGUCACCGAGAUGCUUGUCCACUGGCAGCAGCUGUCCGACUCCGCGCACGCGCUAGCAAAUGAGGCGCUAAAGCGGAGUUUUGGCAGAGCGAGCGGGUCGUCUCGGCAGAUCGUGUCUGCCCCGGCGCGGGUCCCGCGCCAGCGCCGCGCCAUCCAGCAAAGUGCCCUCUACGGCGACACCUUCUCCGGUGGCUCUGCCCUUGACCGCCAGCGCGGCAAGGUCAACGUCCCUCACCUGUACGGGGCUGACGAGGGGCAUGGCGCGUCUAUCAGCCUCAGCUCCACUCAGCGGGGGUCGGUCCUGGCGGCAUCUGGGUUAUUCCACAAUCUGCGGAGCAUCAAGGAGGACUCCUUUAACAGCACAUCGGUGCUGGAUGCUGAGGAUGUGUUUGGUAGCUACCCUAAGCUCACAACGCGCGUUGUCAAGCGACUCGUCCAGAGCCAGACAAGUGUCCACGCGGCCCAGUGACGUUGCAAGAUUGGCUCGCGCGUGCGUCGCCUCAGCGCACGUGCUUGCAUGUGUUUGUGUACGCAUAUUACUGCUCGCUCCCUCGCUCUGUUCGCUGGAAGUACUUCGCUCUUUUUCAGCCAGCGAUCUCGUCAUCGAUCCCCACACACGCACACGCCAUGACGACGUGGCGGGGACACGCCUCUCCCUGCGCGGCAUCUCGGCGUCCAGCGCCGACGACGUGGGAGGGAGGGGGGAGCGCAGAGCGGUGUGGCGCUACGCAUGUCGGCCAUCAGAUCCUGGAUGGCGUUGCGUCGGAGCCACCCGCGGCCGCGGACACGUUUGUGGCACCCGUAUGACAGGCGAAGCGUCCGCGUGCCUCGAACCUGUCCCACCCACGCCCCGGCCUUCACAGCGCCCGCUGCUGGUGUGGCGGGGAGCCUGAGAGCCGCCCCUCCCCCCCCCCCCCGAGCGGGGAUGCGCCAAGGCGGCGGACCUGCGAGGCGGCGGUGCGGGCAGAGGUUGAGGCAGGGGCCGUGCGCCGAUGGCUGCGUCGGCGCAUUGCUGUGCCGCGUGUGUCUACGGCUGGCUGGCGCACGGUGCGACGGGGGCCUGUGACACGGCCGACGGGGAAGGGAGGAGUGAAGCUCGUGCUCUGCGGCUGAGACAUGGGCCACACGCUGGACGCGGCAACGGAUCCUUCGCUUACGUUGGCUUCUCUCCUGCUGUUUUGUUCACCAUUCCCCGUGAUGUACAUGUCCGAGGGAGAGAUGAGAAUGAGGGGGCUGGGCGGGGGUGCGCCACGCUGCACGUUGUCUUUUCCCCGAACUUCUCGUGUUUGGUUCCCCCGCCUCCCUUUCGCUCGCUCUCCUUUUGUUAGCUCAUAUAGUUUGCCUGCAAGUGAUGCCGGGUGGCUCUUGGUGCGCACGUCGCAUCAUCCCGUGCGAGGCAGAGGAGUGGAAAGAGGAGUGCUCGCCGCUCAUGAGGACUACUGCCGACUUUGCGUGCUACGAGCACUAGUACCAUUACCAUUUUUGCUUGCACGCAGUCCUCUCGUUCUCCGUGUCGCCUUGAUGGUGCGCUGCGGUGACUCUUCGCGGGUAUCCUUGUGUAGGCACGCCUGUGCGUUCCCGUCAAGAGGAUGUCGUCGGCGUCCGCGAAGAACGCAUCAAGCACCUGUACACUGCAUGCGCGCGCACGCACGCAUAUUCUCCCCAUAGCC